UUUUAAACUAUAUUAAAAAGAAGAAAUUUGGUUAUCAAAGACAUCAGUAAGAGAGUGAAAAAGGCAAGUACUAGAGUGAAUUAAUAUAUAUGUAAUAUAUAUAUGACUAGCAGAAAUUUUAUAUCCAGACUUCACUUAUUUUUGCAUAAUCAAUUAGAAAAGUGCAAACAAACUAAGAGGGAAAAAUGGGCAAGAGACCUGAACAAGCAACCUAGAAAAGAUGACACCCAAUGGUAAACAAAUUUACGAAUAUGAGCCCAAUCUUUUUAGUUAUCAGAACAAUGCAAAUUAGAUCCACAAUUCAAUACUCCAACACUCAUACUCCAGAAUGGUUAAAUUAAAAGUCUGACAAUGCCUCUUUCUCCGGCUGGAACCAUAGAGGGUGUAGAAGAGAAGAAGAAGGUUCUGCUGUGCCAGAAACCCUUAAGAAAAAGCGAAGGAAUUUCACAGAGCUGAAGAUCAAGUGCCUGAGAAAGAAGUUUGCUCAAAAGAUGCUUAGAAAGGCAAGGAGGAAGCUUAUCUAUGAAAAAGUGAAGCACUAUCACAAGGAAUAUAGGCAGAUGUACAGAACUGAAAUUCAAAUGGCGAGGAUGGCAAGAAAAGCUAGCAACUUCUAUGUACCUGCUGAACCCAAAUUGGCAUUUGUCAUCAGCAUCAGAGGUAUCAAUGGCGUGAGCCCAAAGGUCCAAAAGUUUCUUCAGCUUCUUCGCCUUCGUCAGAUCUUCAAUGGAAGCUUUGUGAAGCUCAACAAGGCUUCGAUUAACAUGCUGAGGAUUGUAGAGCCAUAUAUUGCAUGGGGGUACCCCAAUCUGAAGUCAGUAAAUGAACUAAUCUACAAGCUUGGUUAUGGCAAAAUCAAUAAGAAGCGAAUUGCUUUGACAGAUAACGCUUUGAUUGAUCGAUCUCUUGGUAAAUAUGGCAUCAUCUGCAUGGAGGAUCUGAUUCAUAAGAUCUAUACUGUUGGAAAACGCUUCAAAGAGGCAAAUAACUUCCUAUGGCCCUUCAAGUUAUCUUCUCCACGAGGUGGAAUGAAGAAAAAGACCACCAAUUUUGUCGAAAGUGGAGAUGCUGGCAACAGGGAGGACCAGGCUUAUUAGAAGAAUUAUUAUUAUUAUCUAAUUAUCAUUAGAAGAAUCAUCAACAGGCUUAUUAGAAGAAUGAACUAAGGUGGCUACUAUGAUUAUUUUUCUAAGCUGGUCAGUUAAUAAACAGUAUCUGCUCUCAAAUUGAAAAAAAAAUCUGAUAAUGCAAAGUGUAACGAUGGAUAUGAAACAAUUCUGUACAACCACUAUCACUAUUUAUUUACAAUCUACAGAAAUGAGUAUUGAUGUGCAACAAAAGGCACACACAAGAAUGUGUCAGAAUUAUUUAUAAUAGCUCCAACUGGAAACUUUCCCAAAAACAUCAAGAUGAAAUGGAACAAUGCGACUAUGGUAUAUUUCAAAUGAUACAAUAUCACCAUGAAAAUGAAAAAAUAAUUUAAAAAAAGCUGUCACAAACAAAAUAUUAAACAAAAGAAAAGAUAAACAUGACAGUAUUUGUGAAGUUCAAAACAGACAUAAAGGCAAAAUUUGAAUAUGGUUAGAAAUAGGGUUGUGGUUACUUGAGGGAGGGGCAGGGGUAUAGGGAAGGCCCCACAUAAGUUCUUUCUUGACCUUGGUGAUAGUUUCAAGGUCAUUUUCUUUUUAAAACUAUGUUGAGCUACAUCUUUAUGAACACUUUUCUAUACAGAUGUUAUAUAUUAAUUCUAAAUAUUUUAAAAAUAUGUAAGAGACACUACAAGGUUCCUGAUAACUGAGCACGACUAAAUUAGUGGUAACUUUAAUCUAAAUAUUAUGUUUUAAUUUCUUUUCAAAAAAUUAGAAAACAUAUUAAGCUGUCCAGUAGUUUGGUGGUAUAGAAUCAAGAAAGGAGGAAAACCAUUUGGGAGGAUGACUCAGCACCUGAUAUUCUCUUCUUUUUAGCUCAUGUGACUUUUCUUUCUUUGCUCCCAAUCAACUCCUCUGAUAGGAGGACAGUUCAGCUGGAUGUCAGUGCAUGUCCUGGGUUUUGCUACUGCUGUCUUCAGUGUCUGCCUGUGUGUAUGUGCAUGUGCACCUGAGUGCACCUCUUCACCAACUCCCUGGUUUUGUUGGGAAGGCAUUUCCUAAAAUCCUUCCUUCCUCUUACUUUCCCCAUUUUUCUGCACCCGCUAGGUAGAGGUAGAUCUGAAUAGUAAGUCUGAGAGAAUAGCAAGGUGUGAGUUGCCCAGACACUUCCUCUGUUCUCUUCCCUUCCUCUUACCCAGAACAUGGCUUUCUUUUUCUCAGCCACUUUGUCCUAUACAACAUUAUCCUAAGUGCGGAAAGUUUCUCUUCUUUGAGGGUGUAGGUAGUAAGUCCAUUCGGCUGUUAUGCUAAACUUAAUCUUGCAACCUGGCCUUUCUUAGCAGUAAUGCCAAUACCCACAAGGUCUUCAUCUGUCUUGCUCUUUUGUUUUGUUUUGUUUCUCAUUUGCUUCAGAGCCAGAGUGGAAAGAAGGUAGAAAGGAUGGGCUAAUUAUUGAGCAUUUUCAUGACUCAAAUAACACAUAUAAACUCCAAUGUAGAAUGUGUUCAUGGAAUUUUAUAUGAAUUGAGUCAUUCUCUUAAAUAUUUUACUAUAUUCUAAAUUUGAUAUUAGCAAUACAUCUCUUGCUAUCUCUUCUGUGUCAAAAACUCCCUCCCCAUGAUUUCCACUUCUCUAUUUCUUCCUUAAAGACUCGCUGAAGUUUUUCAUGUUAGUUAGUCUGAGAACUCAGGAAAUAUGAAGAUGAAAAUGAAAAACAGAGGAUAAGGGGAGGAAGAGUAGAAAAUAUUAUUAAGAGUGUCUGUUUAUUAAAUGGUCUCUAUGAUCCUACCUCACAGACGAGGAAACUGAGGCUAAGAAAAUUAAGGAAGUUUCCCAAGACUACAAAGCUUAAUAAAAGCUUCCUUUCUCUGAACUUCCAUGUCACCUUCUGAUUGUAUUUUUAACCUAGCAUAUGCCAUUUCUUGCCUUAGGCAACUAUCAUCUUUUUCUAUAUGUUUCCCUUUUCAUGAAAUCAGUUAUCAAUCUCUUUAAAGCAUAGAUUGUUUUCUUUUUUAAUUUAUAUCUAUUCCCUCUAACACAAUGUCCUGGACACAUUAGGUGCUCAGGAAAGUUUUGUUGGUGAUGACAUAAGAGCUCAAAAUUAGAUAAACAAUAUUUAAAAUGCGACAGUUAUGAGAUGCAAAAUUUGAAGUUGUUGUGCAUGUUUGGUGGAUAUAAUAGAGAAACAGGUCUAUCUGCUGCGUAAGUUGUAGGGUAUGGAAGGAUAUAUUCUCUUUAAAUAAAAAGUACAGUGGGCUGGGCACAGUGGCUCACACCUGUAAUCCUGGCACUUUGGGAGGCCCAGGGGGUGGAUCGCC